GCAGUGGUAGCUCAACGCCAGAGCGCCGGUCUUGUAAACCGGAUGCCGGAGGUUAAAACCCUCCCCACUGCU
rnacentral:tRNA from 1 species